UCUCUCUCUCUCUCUCUCUUCCAUUAUUUAACAGUAUCGGUGCAUAUCGUUCCAUGUCUAACUAUUUUUUCCCCUAAUAGCUUUCAUGUCUGUCUACUUCCAAAAAAAAACCAAAGAAAGAAAACAAUGCUUUGAUGUAAUUCUUUUAUCAAAUUAAUUGUGGUAAAAAAAAAAAAUCACAAGGAAGAAAGGAUAUCAUAUUGUGUAGCAGUAUAUCAAUAUAACAUAAACCUCAAUAUGUAUGCAUGCAAGGAAAGAAGGAUUUUUCUACCGCAGAAGAAGAUUCUGAUUUUUAUUUCAUAUAAAAUCUUAACAGCAUUAGCUAAUUAUAAUCUUAAAAAUAUGUCAACGACCUAAAGUUCUUAAAAUUUGAAAUUAUUUUCCUCUUUAAUACGGUGGAAACUGGGGAAUAAAAAAUUGUAAGAAAAACCGAAGAGUAAAUAAUUAGAAUUUUUCUUUAAAUGGAAAUGCAAAAUUUAUUAGCAAAAUAUAUGAAUUUCACAAUUCUUACCCCUAUAUAUAAAUAUAAAUAUAUAAUUAAUUAUAGUUGGAAAAUUAACAACGGGCGCAUCUACCUGUCAAAGCCAUAACUUGAACAUCGUCUUUCUGAUGAAAACGACAUACGUUUAGUAUCAUGUAUGCAUGUUCUUGACCCUUUUCGCUGACUAAAGAGUACAGACCAUCAAAAAGGCUUAAAAGAAAAGUUAAUA
rnacentral:misc_RNA from 1 species